AGGGAGCAGAGCGUCCCGCACAGCACGGAACUGAGUCAACGCAUUUCUCAGAAGAAGGGCAGGGCGCUCGGUGGCUGGUCCCCGCAAGAAGGCUGUUGUUAGUGCUACUAGCCAGUUGCUUACCUAGCUGAAGCGGUCAGCUGAUCCAACAACUUUAUGUAUCCGUGUUAAAUCUCUUAGUUUUGGUGCAUUUCAUUUGUUUGACGCUGAUUCUCCGUUGGCCGUCCAGCAAACGAAAAUGUCCGAGCCUACGGUGGCCGAUACUCGCCGGUUGCAUUCCAAGCCCCAGGACCUGACAGACGCCUACGGUCCGCCGAGCAAUUUUCUGGAAAUUGACGUUUAUGAUCCACAAACUGUGGGAGUCGGACGCACCCGUUACACAACAUACGAAGUUCGCAUGAGGACAAACCUUCCCAUCUUCAAGCUGAAGGACUCCUGUGUGAGAAGAAGAUACAGCGACUUUGAGUGGCUGAAGAAUGAGUUGGAACGAGACAGUAAGAUUGUAGUUCCCCCUCUGCCAGGUAAGGCCCUGAAAAGACUGCUGCCGUUCAGAGGAGACGAGGGCAUCUUCGAGGAGUCCUUCAUCGAGGAGCGGCGAGUGGGCUUGGAGCAGUUCAUCAACAGAAUUGCCGGCCACCCGUUGGCCCAGAAUGAGCGGUGUCUUCACAUGUUUCUACAGGAGGAAGGCAUUGACCGCAACUACAUUCCCGGAAAAGUAUGAAUAAAGUAAGGGUUACUUUAUUUUUGACAUCCCAUAUGCUUCGAUGCCCAGAGCGUCUGGAUGGCCGGGCGUACCCAUGUACAUUAUCUUCUACAUCGUGUCAUGCGCUGCAAUGUGUGGUAAUGCCAGAAACGAUGAGAGUCAGAGAUAUCGGAUAUCUCCCAUUUGUUCUGGUUUUGAAGCAAGUAGGAAAUCAAAUAUAUGAAUCGUAUGAUAUUUCUUUACUAGGCAUUCUAUAUACAUAAUUUGAACUAUAAUUAACAGGUUUGAGAAUUCGCCACACAGUUGUGUUGUCCCACCACAGCUAUAAUCUAUUCUAUGUUUGUUUUUACAAGGAAUAUUACAUUGUAAUGAAUGUCUUUUGUUUCCAGAUGUAUUCAAAGCCAUUCCUGUUUUAGUCCAUCUGUUCCAUUUCGCUUUCAGAGCUUGGCUGUUGAUUUAAUACCAUCCAAAGUGGAGCGACAUGUAGCAUUAUUAAAGAUAAGACAGUACAAUGAGUCCCACCUUUAUCCAAAUGUUUGCUUUGUUUUUGUUUAAUCAUUCCAAAUAAAAGAGGGGGGGGGGGGGGCAGUUUGGGAUGGCCUCUUUGGUUUCCCCACGCCGUCUUGGUAUAAUCAUAUGUUUUGGCUGUUAAAAAAAACACUAUUGGACAUGUUGAGUAAGGUAAACACCAUAUCUAAGCACUGUGACAAACUUAUUUUGAACACAAACAUCUCCUUCAUUGAUCUGAAACACAGCUGUAUAUGCUCUUAUUUCCAGCUUUUUAUAUAUUUUUAAUGAAUGUUAUUACAAAUCAUAUUAAUACAUUGAGUCAUGGCAACCGGCCAAGUUUCUAUUCACCAAUAAAGUUCCUGCUGCCUGCUUCGAUGUGUGCUCCAUUCUGCGGGGAUCAGCGUAAUGCCCCCAGGGGUGGCGUGGGAUGCUGUUUCAGCACUUGGCAUUCAUUCUUGUCCGUCUCCAUACUUGGGAUAUUAAAUGGAUGACAGAUUCUACUUUUUUCUUUUGCAGUUUGAUAUCACAGCAAAGCAGGGUGAUGAUUUGGACAUCAACAAUGAUUGGGAUAUUGUGUUUGUGUCCAUUUGUAUGUGGAUAUUGAGUGUUCAAAUGCAGGGAUGACCUAGAACGUAUAUAAUAGUAUACACCAUCCAUAUGAAAUGCACUGUGUAAGCAAAAAUCUGUUUUUUAAAUGGGAUAGUAAAGAAUACAGAUUGUAUCUUUAAAGACACAGCCAAAUAAACCCUGUUGAACUCUGAA